rnacentral:lncRNA from 1 species
UCAAUUACAAAAUUAUCAGUCCUAGACUCAGAGGUAUCACCAGUAUUAACCAUUUUGACUGAGAAAGGGCUUGGAAUUUGUAAGAUAGAAUAAACCUAAAUGGUCCUAGGUACACAAAAAAUUCCAAAAAUCGGCUGAAACUGAGGAAAGAAAGUAUGAAGCGUAGAAAACUCAGAAAACUCAGAGAAAAUCAACAAACAAAACAAACUUAAAUGGUCCUAAGUACACAAAAAUUCCAGAAAUCGACUGAAACUGAGGAAAGAAAGUAUGAAACUCAGAAAACUCAGAGAAAAUCAACAAUCACCGAAGAAUAUCUUAAAAAAACAGAGAAAAAGAGAAAAAUCUAGAUUUGUCGGAGAACACAGAAACUUUGACGAAAAAUGGUGAGGGUGACAUCAUGACGAAGUGUGUGAGAAGCGGAAUUGUAAUCCCUGCUCUGAUACCAUGUGAAAGUUAACAAUUUCCAUGCAUGAACGAUGUUUAUUUCAGAUUAUAGAGAGAGAAAGAAGAAGAGUUCUUCAUUAUUGCACUGAGAGAAAAAUGAGACUAAGUCUCUG